rnacentral:rRNA from 1 species
GAUGAACGCUGGCGGCGUGCCUAAUACAUGCAAGUCGAGCGAACAGACGAGAGUGCUUGCACUCUCUGACGUUAGCGGCGGACGGGUGAGUAACACGUGGGUAACCUACCUAUAAGACUGGGAUAACUUCGGGAAACCGGAGCUAAUACCGGAUAAUAUUUAGCUUCGCAUGAAGCAAUAGUGAAAGACGGUUCUGCUGUCACUUAUAGAUGGACCCGCGGUGUAUUAGCUAGUUGGUGAGGUAACGGCUCACCAAGGCAACGAUACAUAGCCGACCUGAGAGGGUGAUCGGCCACACUGGGACUGAGACACGGCCCAGACUCCUACGGGAGGCAGCAGUAGGGAAUCUUCCGCAAUGGACGAAAGUCUGACGGAGCAAUGCCGCGUGAGUGAAGAAGGUUUUCGGAUCGUAAAACUCUGUUGUAAGGGAAGAACAAGUACAUUAGUAACUGAACGUACCUUGACGGUACCUUACCAGAAAGCCACGGCUAACUACGUG